rnacentral:piRNA from 1 species
UGAUAUCUUAACGUUCCUGUUAAUCCACACC